GUAGUCGUGGCCGAGUGGUUAAGGCAAUGGACUAGAAAUGCAUUGGGAAACUUCCCUCGCAGGUUCGAAUCCUGCCGACUACG
rnacentral:tRNA from 1 species